ensembl:snRNA U6 U6 spliceosomal RNA
GUGCUUACUUCUGUAGAACACACAAUAAAAUCAGAACAAUACAGAGAAGACCAGAGCAGCCCCUGCACACCAAGAUGUCCUGAAAAUCUGCGAAGCAGUCCGUAUUUUU